AAAGAGUUCACAAAUGAUGUUCGGAAGUGUUAGCUCAAAAUUGCCAUACGAUAUGCAGCAAGGAAUAAAAAUGAAGUUCUCAAUUCGUACAGCCAAGUUUUGUUCAUAUAAAUCACCCCUUUUUAUUGUCAAGGUUCAUUACAUCCAAGUCUCUUUGGCACAACAGCCAUACAAAGUUUCGGAACCCAAAGACGACGAUAGGUUCCUUAUUCGCAGUUUUUUCACACAUACACAUACCACAACAGGUAUACAUUCGCUUUAGACCCUAGGGGAUAAGCACAACAGAUCCAGAUGUUCUCCUGUUCUCGAGGUCUGCGUGUGCCUGUGCUGCUUCAGAUAACGAGUAGGUGUGAUUCACUCGAACACGCAGUACACCCGAUGCAACAUUAGCAAAUACAUCUUCUGCAGUCUCUAACAAUUCGUCUUGAGUAACAGUGUAAUGAAAGAGGCCAGGCCUUGUCAAGAAGAGUGAUUUCGCUUGAAGAGCUGGUAAUGGAACUGGAUCAGGCACGCCUGAUGACUGCCCAAAACUCACCAUGUAUCCUUGAAGUUUUAAGACCGCUAGUGAUCCCUGAAAACAAUGCCUCCCGAUAAGAAUUCGUAGUCCAAAACACUAGUUAUCUAUACGAUGAUGUCGAUUUUGGAGUUGAGGAGUUGAGCUUUUGCAACAUUUAAAUCGAUCAUCAUACGGUUAUGGAGAUAGGAGAUGUAUAACUUACCUCAAAUGUAUCCUUCCCAACAGAAUCGUAGACAACCUCAACCCCCUUGUCGGAUGUUAUUUCUUUCACACGAGCGACAAAGUCCUCUUCCUUAUAGAUUAUGACAUGGUGGCAUCCAUCCUCCUUGGCUUGAGCUGCCUUCUCUUUAGUUGAGACAGUUCCAAUGACAGUGGCACCAAGGGCAUUAGCCCACUGGCAUAGAAGGGAUCCGACUCCACCAGCUGCUGCAUGAACAAGGACUGUGUGUCCAGGUUCGACCUGUAUCACAACGAUUGAGUCAGGUCUAAUAACAAAAGCGACAACAGUUUCAAAUUUUCAAAACAUCUAUAACAUUAGGAAAAAGGAUUGCCAUAGUUAGGCAUGCAAUUGUGGAAUUAUGAGUGGUCAUGAUUUGCAUAUGAAACAGGCUAUACACGCUCAGCUUACAUUGUCCAAACAGGGACAAUAGCUAAAACUGGUUUAGCGGCAUAUUGAACUUCAUUACAUAUGCUGGCACUGACCAGUACUAAUAGUAACAAAUAUUCACCUUGACAACAACAAUGAAAAGUGUACGAAACAGAUAGCUCUAUAAAAACAUUCUGCAACGCCACAUUUAAUUUCAAGAAAGAUUAAAAAGAGCAGAUGCAGGUACAUAUGUAUAAAGCUACCUUGAAACAACGGCGUACUAGAAACUGAGCAGUCAUACCCUUAAGCAAGAGGGAUGCUGCGACUGUAGGAUCAAUGGAAGCAGGAACAGGCACAGCUCUGUUUGCAGGAAGGAUCUGCUCUUCCGCAUAUGAGCCCAUUGGCUGACCAGCAUAUGCUACUAUAUCUCCAACUUGCCUGCCUGUUAGUCCAGGUCCCACAGCCGUCACAACUCCACAAGCCUCGACACCUGAAGUCAGUUUUGAUUUGUAAAUAAAUAGGGCAACUCCAUUUCCAGCACUCAAUAGAGUUUUAGAUGUAAACAAACAAUAAAUCUAUCUGUGGGGAACAGUUAAGAAAAUCAAAUUUUGGAAGAGAACAUAGGCCAAAAAUUGGCGAGAAAUGAAGCAAGACCUGGGGUGUAGGGAAGCGUAGGAGCCUUGUAAAUGCCUUUGCGGAAGUAUACAUCGAUGAAAUUAAGCCCGAUAGCCUUGUUCUUCACACGAAUCUCACCCUCCUUUGGCUCCUCUACUUCCACAUCUUGCCAUUUCAACACCUAACAUCAUUACAUGACAAACAUAAGUAAAAUGACCGUAUUAGUGUUGGCAUAAACUAAGAACCAGAGCAAAAAUUUAACGAAAUGGAUAUCGGAUUCUGCCUAACAGAAGUUAAGCAUAAAUUAAUACUGCCUAACAACAAAAGAAAAGCAAAAAUUUAACAAAAUGGAUAUCGACUAAUCAGUAUCAAUUAUCAAAGCACUUCAAGUGAUUUUGGAAUCCAAAAAUAUUUUCUCUAAAAUUGCUUUCAGUCAUUUUAAAUGAACUACCAAACCAACCCUACAUCGUUUUUCGGGUCCAAUUGCCGGCUUAUGUGAUCGAUUAUAUAAGAAAAACACUUGAUAUGGCUCUAAUCAACAAGCAUGAUCACUUCCAAUUAAAUUAUACCACAAAAUAAAAGCAACUCUCAAAUUCAAUGUGUCAAAAAUAUAAUACAAUAUAAACAACUCAGGCUUCAUAAUUAAACUAAUUCUGUUUUAUCAUACAAAUUAAAGCACAACCCAGAAUUCCGAUUCAUAUAUAUACAUAUAUAUAUAUAUAUAUAUAGAGAGAGAGAGAGAGAGAGAGAGAGAGAGAGAAACCUCAGGACCGCCAAGUUCAUGGACUCGAAUGGCUUUGACCAUCUUUGCUGCCGCUGCUGCUACUUCAGUGUCGACUGCUCUAACUACCGCUACUGAUGAUUUCUGGGUCCUAAAAGCUGAACAAUUGAUGAAAUUGUUGCUGGAAAUCUGUGGAAAAUUUGUAGAGUUUGGAGCUGACAGCAACUGGAAAUACUUGUGAUUAAGAAAUGGGUAAAGUUAAACCAUGCUUCUGGAAUAUAAUUGGAAGCAUCGAGCAUGAGAUAGUGGCCAGAUGAAGAAACGCCAAUUGCCCGGGUCUCUUUCUUUUGGGCCCAAUCAUUUUGGAGGGAAUGUCCACGUGGGAGGAUAUGAUUUUGACACGUGGCAAAUGAUCAAAUCUCGUGUAUUGUGUAGAAUGUGAAUCACUCUCUAAACUAUAUGGAAAAACGAGUCUUAAUGAAACACUAUUGGUACUGUUUACUUUUAACGUUAAAUACAUUUUUUUGUCUAAAAAGUCAAUUUCACCUUUAUUGUAGCAACGUCUUUCAACUUUGACUAAAUUAAAGCAAUGACUCUGUGAACACGGAAAUUUCUUGAAACAAGAACACGUGUACAAAUAAUAUUUUGUGAUUUUGAUUUUUUGGGGUUACGAUCUCUAAUUUGAUCCUCUGAUUCGAUCUCCGUAAGAUGUUGGUCUGUGGAUGUUGUUGAUCCAAGGGUCGUCGAGGCUUGAUCUUGGAUGAACAGUUGUGUAGAUUUGUUGAUGGGUUGUUGAUCCAAAAGGCCGUCAGGGCUUGAUCUUAGGAUGAACGGAUGGUUUCUUCAAGGGCCUUCGGGGCUUGAUCUUGAAAGUUGAGGGAAGUUUCUUCAAGGGUCGUUGGGCUUGAUCUUGAUGAACAGUUUGAUGAACGAAUUUUCAAGGGCUUUUGGGCUUGAUCUUGAAGAAUAGAUGUGUGGAUUUGUUGAUGUUGUUGAUCCAAAGGCCCGUUGGGGCUUCAUCUUAGGAUGAACGAAUGGUUUCUUCAAGGGCAUUCGGGGCUUGAUCUUGAAAGUUGAGGGAAGUUUCUUCAAGAGUCGUUGGGCUUGAUCUUGAAGGUUGAUGGAAGUUUCUUCAAGUGCCUUUGGGGCUUGAUCUUGAAGGUGGGCCUCAAGGAUUUGGCGAAGAACGAAGAGAGCUUUCUUGAUCUUUCAGAAUUCUUGGGAAUUUGGAUGCUUGAGAGCUUUGGAGUUUCAAAGCUUCAAGGAUUUGGGGAAUUCUCUUCCAAUUUGGGAGUAGAGAAAUGUAUUUUGUCAAAUUUAGGAUGAUUGAUACCUUGAUGGAGAAGCCUAUUUAUAGGCUUUGAGAAUGAAUCACCACCACAAAAUUUUCCCACUUAAGCACCAUUACCUAAUUUUCCCACUUAAUGCAAUAUUGAAAUUGAAGUGGUCUAACAUAUGGCCUAAUUUUCCACUUAAUAUUAUUUUAAACUUGAAGUUGUCUAACUUAUGGCCUAAUUUUCCCACUUGAUACAAUUUUAAACUUAAAGUGUGCUUGUCAUGUCAUUGUCCAAAUGAGAAAAACUUGUUUUGAACCGUAAUGGAUUGAAGUGUGCUUGCCUUGUCAUUGCCCAAAAUGAAAAGAAAAACUUGUUUUGAUCCGUAAUGGAUUGAAGUGUGCUUGCCUUGUCAUUGCCCAAAAUGAGAAGAAAAACUUGUUUAAUCUUCCAAGGGUAUUUCUUCCUAUUUUGUUGAGUCACACACCAUGUGUACAAUUUGUACAACACAUGGCGUAUGCCACGUAUGCCCUGAUACGUCAAAAUUUUAAUGCGGGUGAACAUUUGUUUUCACCGAAAUUUCGAUGUCUACAAAUGCCCCCACUUCAAGACGCGUCGUGUACAUAUGCUUGUCAUGUGUAGAAAAUGUGUUUUGAAGUACCUCAAUGUAGAUGUCGAUUCAAGGGCCUUCGAGGCUUGAUCUUGAAAGGGCUAAGAAAUUUCUUCAAGGGUCGUCGAGGUUUGAUCUUGAAUUUGGCUGGAGUUUUCUUCAAGGGCCGUUGAGGCUUGAUCUUGAAUUUUGUUUGAAAUUUCUUCAAGGGCCGUAGAGGCUUGAUCUUGAAUGAAAUUGGACCAUAAGGAGCUUCAUGUGAUAGAUAAUCUUUGGCUUUGGUAGUGGAUGAAUCGGCACGUAUUUUGUUGCGCUUGUUGACUUUCCACAUGCUUAUUCUUGAACUGGGUUAGAGAUCCAAGCAAGGAAGAGGAGAGUUCCCUGGCGGCGGUGGUGAUUUGAUGGCGUUGCACGCCGAGGCUUUGCUCUUCGGCGACAGUGCCAUUGAAAGGUUGUUGAGGUUUCUCGAGCUUUUUGAUUGGAGCAACAAUGCCGAGCUUGGAUUUGACUCAGACUCCUUCGUCUGGAUCAUGCGAUUCUGCAGGGAAGGGUGUUACGCUAUAGUGAUCUGUUACAGCUCACCAUGCUGCAUUCUUCUCUGCUUGCUUCUUUUGCACGGCAAAAGUGGUGCGCAACCUUUUACCUUUAAAUGGUCAUUCAGAGCAUCACUUCUCAGCGACUCGUCCAUGCUUGUCAGCUUCAGUGUAAAAAACCAAUAUCAUAUCAACUGUUCUGAGGUAUUUACUAAGGAAAUUUGAAACCAACAGUUGAAGAUGAGCACUCGAGAGCAAUGCCAGGUAAGCAACCAGGCAAAAGUUCUAGGCAAUCAGUUCCAGAUCGGAAGUUUGAUUUUAGGUUCCGACUGAUUGCUUUCUUUCUCCUUGUCUUGCAGGUAAAAGCAAGAGUAAAGGAAAAGACAGGGAAAAGCAUGCCAUAAGAUAUCUUUGCCUUCAACCCUGAUGAUAUGAGAUACUUUUGCUUUUGAAGAAGUAGCGGAUGAACCAGCACGUGUUUCUUGUCUCCACAUGCUUCGAUAUAUCAUUUUCACUUGCCCUAUCUAUUCUCAGGCAGAUGUGGUAUCUUCUCUAGAAGCACAAGAUGUUGAAAAUGAGUACUCAAGAGCAAUGCUAGGUAAAUAAUCAGGGAUGGGAUUCCAGGCAGUCGGAAGGUUGAUUCUAAGUGCCGGCUGAUUGCUCUCUUUCUCCUUGUCCUGCCGGUAAGAACAAAGACAAAGAAAAUGACAAGGAGAAAGCAUGAUAUGAGAUACUCUUGCUUUCAAAGAAGUGGUGGUGAUUUGACGGCGUUGCACGGCGAGGCUUUGCUCUUUGGCGACGGUGCCAGUGAAAGGCUGUUGAAGCUUAUCGAGUUCUUUGAUUAGAGCAACGAUGCCGAGCUUGGAUUUGAUUUAGACUCCUCCAUCUGGGUUAUGCGGUUCUACAGGGAAGGGCGUCGUGAUACAGUGAUUUGUUCCAGCUCAUCAUUGAUCUUUCUGCUUCAAUCUCUUGCAGUAUUUUCCCCUGAUGCAGGAAUGGAAUGCAACCUUUGCAUUUAAAUGGUCAUUCAGAACAUUACUUCUCAGCGACGAUGAGUACUCAAGAACAAUGCAAGGUAAGCAACCAGGCAAAGGUUCCUAGCAAUCAGUUCCAGAUCGGAAGUUUGAUUUCAUGUUCCGACUGAUUGCUUUCUUUCUCCUUAUCUUGCAGGUAAGAGCAAGGGUAAAUGAAAAGACAGGGAAAAAGCAUGAUAUGAAAUACUCUUACUUUCGACCCUGAUGAUAUGAGAUACUUUUGCUUUGGUGUCAUUUGUUUGCAGAGGUAUUCCCGGAGAGGAAGAAAACUAAGUAUUUUGAGAGGCUUUUUUGGGAGUGUACUCUCGGAGGUGAGGAAGAGUUGGGCAUUUUUGCAGGUCUGCCUUGCCAUGGAGGAUGAAGAUCGACAUAUAUAGGAAUUUCCUAACAGCUAGUAGUGGUACUAUUCUUUUACUCUUGUCGACAACCAUUGGGUAAUUGAAACAGUAAGAUUCACGCGUCUUCAACUUUGUCAGAAAUCUUUGACAAAGUUGCGCAUGAUUUCUGGAAAGUUGAGGUUGAGUGUAAAAUAUGCUGACAAAUCUGGAAAAACCGGUCUUUUGAAAUUCGGAAAGCGGUGCCUCUUCGAUCUCUGAACAAGUAGCCUUGUUGCCUCUUCGAUUUCUGAACAAGCGGCCUGGCUUUUGAAAUUGGAGGAUAGGUGCUUCCUCGAUUUCUAAACAAGCGGCCCAUCUUUUAAAAUUCGAGGAGAGGUGCCUCUUUGAUUUCUGAACGGCCAUGUUGCCUUAUCGAUUUCUGAACAGUCCCUAUUGCCUCCUUUUUUUAUAGAGGCAUUAAUCGUGUUCAAAAACACACUUAAAGAGUUGCCGCCUGUAAGCAUUUCUCUCUUUUUGUAUUUUUGAGAAUUCUAUUUACCCGACCUCUUUUUCCUUCAUCAUUUUUUUGCAAAUGGCUUGCCCAUCUGAUUGUCGUCUUGAUUUGAAUGUUGGGGAGGAUGUUGAUAUGUCUUCUCCAGACAACAUAUGACACCCAUCCUUCUUAUCCCUCACUGAUCCUCUUACAGUUGGGGACUCAGUGAUGAAGAAUGACAUAACCGCUAUGGUGGUAGAUAGAAAUCUUCUCACCCCAAAGGACAACAUGAUCAUUUCCAAGCGGUCUGAUGAGCUGGCUGUUCAAGACUCUUUGGCUUUCAGUGUUCAAUGUGUGAGUUCUGUAUCGAAUAUGGGCCAACGCCUUCUUGCUCGAACUCGUCAAGUUGAGUCACUGAUGGCUGAAGUGGCGAGUCUUAAGCAAGAUAUUAGAGGGCUUAAGCGUGAAAACAGAGAGUUGCACAUGCUUGCCAAUAGUUACUCGACGAACAUGAAGAGAAAACUUGACCAGCUGCAGGAAUCCGAAAGUCAGAUUCAGAGUGACCAUAAGAUGUUUGUGGCUUUACUCCAGAAGCACCUAUUGCCUUCGUCCUCUGGAGUUUUACUGAGUGUUGAAGCUCCAAACAAUCAACCUCCGGCUCUUCUUCUUCCUGGAGUUCCGCCGAGUGAUGAGGCGUUAUCUGAUCAACCUUUGUGAAGAAUCCUUUUUUUUUUGUACAAAGAAAUUGUAAUAAGAUUGACUUUCAUUAGUCAAGUAUUUAAUAAAACCCUUAUUUUUUAUUUUGAUGUAACUGAACUCGAAAAUUAAAUGUUCAAGCUGCCUACGUACCCCUCCAAAGAAGAGAUCAAGUCAUAACGUAGUUCAAAUACUUUUUUUUUUGGUGUGCCGUACGCAGUUUAUGCUCUUGUGGGCCAGGAGCGUGGCGUGUUUGCUUUAUGGGUAGUAGCGUUUCAAGAAUCUACCAUUGAUGGGGCCGAUGCUCAAGCUGUCUUCCGCCAUGAUUAGGUAGGCGUCAUUGGUGUAGACUUCUUGUACUACGUAAGGUCCGUCCCACUUUGAUGUGAACUUGCUUUUCGUUUUGUGAAUUAUGAUGAUAGGCAUACGCAAUGCGAGGACGAGAUCUCCCGUUUGGAAAGACCUUGGGCAUACCUUCUUGUUGAAUGCCUUGGAUAGCCGUGCUUAGUAGCAUUCCAAGUGUUGUUGAGCUUCGAGCCUUCUUUCGUCGAGUGCUUCCAACUCUUGAAGCCGUAGCUUUGCAUUUUCCUCUUCAGUUAAGCCUUCUUGUAUAGCCAUCCUUAGUGAGGGGAUUUGACUUUCGAGCGGUAGAACAGCUUCCACGCCAUAUACGAGAGAAUAAGGCGUAGCUUGGGUAGGGGUCCUAUGUGUCAUCUUAUAUGCCCAAAGUGCUUCGCUUAUUCUUUCGUGCCAGUCUCUCUUUGUUCGACCGAUCACCUUCUUUAGGAGGUUGCACAACGUUUUGUUGAAUGCUUCUGCAAGACCGUUGGCCGGAGCAUGAUACAUGGAAGACUUAUGCUGCUUGAACUUGUAUUUCUCACAGAGCUCGUCCACGACUCUGUUGGAGAACAGUUUUCCAUUGUCAGUGAUAAUGUAGUGAGGCACACCAUAUCGGUGGAUGAUAUGCUCUUUGAUGAAACAGACGACAAUUUCCUUCUUGACUUCCUUUAGGGGUAUGGCUUCAACCCACUUGGAGAAGUAAUUUGUUACAUCUAGGAUGUAAGCUUCUCCUGCACAUGACUUUGGCGUAAUUGGUCCUACAACGUCCAAUCCCUAUGCGUCGAAUGGCCAUGAAGCAGCUGUAGGGUGUAAUGGUUCAGGCGGUUGAUGUAUGAAGUUGGCGUGGAAUUGGCAGGCUUGGCACAUUUUGGCGUGUUCCAGGCAAUUCUUCACCAUGUUUGGCCAGUAAUAGCCCAUUCUUUUGAGCUGGAAAUGCAGCUUUGGUCCAGACUGAUGUGCCCCGCAUACACCUGAGUGUGAUUCUUCCAUGGCUUGAUCGACUUCUUCCUCACCUAGGCAUCUUAGAAGUACCCCUUCAAAAGAGCGUCGGUAGAGUGUUUCUUUGUAGUAGAGGAAGUGAGGUACUCGUCGACGUAUUUCAGAGUGAUGUCUAAGAUCAUCUGAGAGCUUUCCAUGCUCCAAGUAGUCGAUCAGUGGCUGUUUCCACUCUUCAGUGUCGACUGGAAGUACUGAGAUGACAUUUGCAUCGUCCAGUAACAUUUCGGUAACUCGUCGACAUAUUUUACUGGACCUAAAAGAGUUUACAAAUGAUGUUUGGAAGUUUUAGCUCAAAAUUGCCAUACCAUAUAUGCAGCAAGGAAUAAAAAUGAAGUUCUCAAUUCGUACAGCCAAGUUUUGUUCAUAUAAAUCACCCCUUUAUUGUCAAGGUUCAUUACAAGAAAAUAUCGAUAAUAUCGGCAAUAUAUCGCCGAUAUUAUCGGUUUUUCCCCAAACCGAUAUUUUAAGUGGUAUCCAAGGGGUUUUCGUCAAAUUUUCGCGAUAAUAUCGAUAAUAUCGCGAAAUUUCGGAACUGUGCAAGUUGGAGACGAACACCGGAGCUUCUACAGCUCCGGCCGACUGUAAAACAACCCCCUAGACUCCGAUCUAGGUAUGAACAUGAAAUAGAAGACGAGAGGAACGUUUUUAUAACGUCCGUUUGCCGUGAAACGGCCGGAGGUGUUCGGAAAGUUCGUCGACACCCACGACCUCGCCGGAGAUGGGUGUGCCUAUUCCCGAGUCUGUCUGUCUGUCUGUCUGCUCUGGGAAGGUGAGUUGCAGAGAAGAGAUGGGGGGAGAACCGGAGAAGAAACAAGGAGAAAGGGAGGGAGAAGGAUCGAGAUGUCUGAGGGAAGAUGGAGUGGGAAGAGAGAGAGAGAGAGAGUAAAAUAAAUCUUUGAAAUUCUGAAAUGGCAAAGAAAAAGAAAGAGGUAAGGUGGACAGGGACCUUGGGUGAUGUGAAUGAUGUGAACAGGUAAGGUGGACAAGGGUCAUCAGAUGGUUUUAAUUGAAACCACCCACACCCGCUUGCGUGGGUUUUUUAUAUAUUUAAAAAGUUCCUUGUCCAUCAGAUGGUUUUAAUUGAAGGAAUUGAAACCACCCACACCUACUUGCGUGGGUUUUUUUAUAUAUUUAAAAAGUUCAUUGUCCAUCAGAUGGUUUUAAUUGAAACCACCCACACCCACGCGUUAUAUAUUUAAAAAGUUUGGGAUAUAUAUAUAUAUAUAUAUAUAUAUAUAAAUGUUACAUAAAUUAUAAAUUAUUUAGAUAAUAUUUUUUUUCUAGGUAAGCAUAUUAUACAUGUACAUAAAACAUUCGUAUAUGUAUGUUCUUCUAUAAGAAAUAACAUAUUAUUCAAUAAUUGUUUAUAUCUGAUAUAAUAAAUUUAAUUAAUUCAUAUAAUAUAUAAAAAAUUUACCUAAAUCCGUCCAGGCCGCCUAGGCGUCCGCCUAGACUCCGCCUAGGUGCUAGGCGCUAGCCCACCGCCCAACUAACGCCUAGCGUUUUUAGAACAUUGGCGUGUGUGUGGGAGAAGGGAAAAGGGAGAAGAGAAGGAUCGAGAGACCGAGGUCUCUGUGUGCGUGUGUGGGCUCUCGAUCUCUGUGUGCAUGUGUGGUGGCGUGUGAAAGUCUCUGACUCUGUGUGUGUGUGUGGUGGUGUGUGAGAAAAAAAAUAGCAUCCAAAUAAUUCAAAACCGUGUCUCUGACUCUCUGUCUUUGACUCUUGACAACUUUUACAACUUUUGACAAGAUAAAAAGUAAUGGAGGUUUCAUCAAGAUUCUAAAUCACUCAUGUAUCUUACCAUGCAAUAUAUAAAGUGUAAAAUAUUGUAGUAAAUCAUUAUAUAAAAAUGAUUAUGGUGUGUUUAAUCUUUUUUUCAUUAAUUACUACAUAUUUUCUACACUCACAGUGUUUGCCAGCUUGCUGUAUAAUCAACUUAAAUCAGUUAAAUCCAUCAUGCAAUGCAUUUCCUUCCAAUUUUUUGUGAUAAACUAAUAGAUAAUUAACUAAAUAAACAUCCUGCAAAGUUUCAAUAAAAAAUUCCAAGUUUUUCGUACAAUUUUCGUGGUUUCCAUAUUAUUUAUCGAUAUCGAUAUUAUCCCGAUAUUUCCAUCAAUAUUUCCGUGUUUUCGGACACCGAUAUUUCCGAUAUUAUCGAUAUUUAAUACCUUGAUUACAUCCAAGUCUCUUUAGCACAACAGGCAUACAAAGUUUCGGAACCGAAGACGACAUUACGUUCCUUAUUCGCAGUUUUUUCACACAUACACAUACCACAACAGGUAUACAUUCGCUUUAGACCCUAGGGGAUAAGCACAACAGAUCCAGAUGUUCUCCUGUUCUCGAGGUCUGCGUGUGCCUGUGCUGCUUCAGAUAACGAGUAGGUGUGAUUCACUCGAACACGCAGUACACCCGAUGCAACAUUAGCAAAUACAUCUCCUGCAGUCUCUAACAAUUCGUCUUGCGUAACAGUGUAAUGAAAGAGGGUAGGCCUUGUCAAGAAGAGUGAUUUCGCUUGAAGAGCUGGUAAUGAAACUGGAUCAGGCACGCCUGAUGACUGCCCAAAACUCACCAUGUAUCCCCGAGGUUUUAAGACCGCUAGUGAUCCCUGAAUACAAUGCCUCCCGAUAAGAAUUCGUAGUCCAAAACACUAAUCAUCUAUAAGAUGAUGUUGAUUUUGGAGUUGAGGAGUUUAGUUUUGCAACAUUUAAAUCGAUCAUCAUAUGGUUAUGGAGAUAGGAGAUGUAUAACUUACCUCAAAUGUAUCCUUCCCAACAGAAUCGUAGACAACCUCAACCCCUUUGUCGGAUGUUAUUUCUUUCACACGAGCAACAAAGUCCUCUUCCUUAUAGAUUAUGACAUGGUGGCAUCCAUCCUCCUUGGCUUGAGCUGCCUUCUCUUUAGUUGAUACAGUUCCAAUCACAGUGGCACCAAGGGCAUUAGCCCACUGGCAUAGAAGAGAUCCGACUCCACCAGCUGCUGCAUGAACAAGGACUGUGUGUCCAGGUUCGACCUGUAUCACAAUGAAAUGAUUGAGUCAGGUCUAAUAACAAAAGCGACAAUGGUUUCAAAUUUUCAAAACAUCCAUAACAUUAGGAAAAAGGAUUGCCAUCGUUAGGCAUGCAAUUGUGGAAUUAUGAGUGCUCAUGAUUUGCAUAUGAAACAGGCUAUCCACGCUCAGCUUACGUUGUCCAAACAGGGACAAUAGCUAAAACUGGUUUAGCGGCAUAUCGAACUUCAUUUACAUAUGCAGGCACUGACCAGUACUAAUGGUAACAAAUAUUCACCUUGACAAGAACAAUGAAAAGUGUACGAAACAGAUAAAAAGGUCGUACCCAGUGCACAAGGCUCCCGCUUUACGCAGGGUCUGGGAGAGGUGAAUGUCGGCUAGCCUUACCCCCAUUUUAUGGAGAGGCUGCUCCCAAGUCUCGAACCCGAGACCUACCGCUCAUGGGCGAAGGCACUUGCCAUCGCACCAAGUGCGACCUCUAAAAGUGUACGAAACAGAUAGCUCUAUAAAAACAUUCUGCAACGCCACAUUUAAUUUCAAGAAAGAUUACAAAGGGCAGAUGCGGGUACAUAUGUAUAACACUACCUUGAAACAACGGCGCACUAGAUACUGAGUUGUCAUACCCUUAAGCAAAAGGGAUGCUGCGACUGUAGGAUCAAUGGAAGCAGGAACAGGCACAGCUCUGUUUGCAGGAAGGAUCUGCUCUUCCGCAUAUGAGCCCAUUGGCUGACCAGCAUAUGCUACUGCUACUAUAUCUCCAACUUGCCUGCCUGUUAGUCCAGGUCCCACAGCCGUCACAACUCCACAAGCCUCGACACCUGAAGUCAGUUUUGAUGUGUAAAUAAAUAGGCCAACUCCAUUCCAGCACUCAAUAGAGUUUUAGAUGUAAACAAACAAUAAAUCUAUCUGUGGGGAACAGUUAAGAAAAUCAAAUUUUGAAAGAGAACAUAGGCCAAAAAUUGGCGAGAAAUGAAGCAAAACCUGGGGUGUAGGGAAGCGUAGGAGCCUUGUAAAUGCCUUGGCGGAAGUGUACAUCGAUGAAAUUAAGCCCGAUAGCCUUGUUCUUCACGCGAAUCUCACCCUCCUUUGGCUCCUCUACUUCCACAUCUUCCCAUUUCAACACCUAACAUCAUUACAUGACAAACAUAAGUAAAAUGACCGUAUUAGUGUUGGCAUAAACUAAGAACCAGAGCAAAAAUUUAACGAAAUGGAUAUCGGAUUCUGCCUAACAGAAGCUAAGCAUAAAUUAAUACUGCCUAACAAAAAAAAAAAGCAAAAAUUUAACAACAUGGAUCAAAGCAAGCACUUCAAGUGAUUUUGGAACCCAAGAACAUUUUCUCUAAAAUUGCUUUCAGUCAUUUUAAAUGAACUAGCAAACCAACCCUACAUCGUUUUUCGGGUCCAAUUGCCGGCUUAUGUGAUCGAUUAUAUAAGAAAAACACUUGAUAUGGCUCUAAUCAACAAGCAUGAUCACUUCCAAUUAAAUUAUAACACAAAAUAAAAGCAACUCUCAAAUUCAAUGUGUCAAAAAUAUAAUACAAUAUAAACAACUCAGGCUUAAUAAUUAAAUUGGACUAAUUCUGUUUUAUCAUACAAAUUAAAGCACAACCCAGAAUUCCGAUUCAUAUAUAUAUAUAGAGAGAGAGAGAGAGAGAGAGAGAGAGAGAGAGAGAGAGAGAGAGAGAGAGAGAAAGACCUCAGGACCGCCAAGUUCAUGGACUCGAAUGGCUUUGACCAUCUUUGCUGCCGCUGCUGCUACUUCAGUGUCGACUGCUCUAACUACUACCGCUACUGAUGAUUUCAGGGUCCUAAAAGCUGAACAAUUGAUGAAAUUGUUGCUGGAAAUCUGUGGAAAAUUUGUAGAGUUUGGAGCUGACAGCAAC
rnacentral:lncRNA from 1 species